rnacentral:rRNA from 1 species
GAUGAACGCUGGCGGCGUGCUUAACACAUGCAAGUCGAACGAUGAACCGGGUGCUUGCACUCGGGGAUUAGUGGCGAACGGGUGAGUAACACGUGAGCAACCUGCCCCUGACUCUGGGAUAAGCGCUGGAAACGGCGUCUAAUACUGGAUAUGUCCCGUCACCGCAUGGUGUGCGGGUGGAAAGAUUUUUCGGUUGGGGAUGGGCUCGCGGCCUAUCAGCUUGUUGGUGAGGUAAUGGCUCACCAAGGCGUCGACGGGUAGCCGGCCUGAGAGGGUGACCGGCCACACUGGGACGGAGACACGGCCAGACUCCUACGGGAGGCAGCAGUGGGGAAUAUUGCACAAUGGGCGGAAGCCUGAUGCAGCAACGCCGCGUGAGGGAUGACGGCCUUCGGGUUGUAAACCUCUUUUAGCAGGGAAGAAGCGAGAGUGACGGUACCUGCAGAAAAAGCACCGGCUAACUACGUGCCAGCCGCCGCGGUAA